CUGUGAUAGAUCCUGGAAACUCACUUCCAAUGACAAAGAACCUGAGAUAAACAAUGAAUGAUAAAUGAAUGUGCUAGUUCAUUGAUUUGUUGACAGCAGGAGUGGAAAAUGAGAAUGGAUGUCUAACUUCAAUUUAAACAAGAGAACAUUGAUAAUUGUGACUCCAAAGAUUCUAAUUCUCUCUGGAUAUACUGUGUUAUUUCUAACACAUUGAAGAAAAAGGAGGAGACAAAUAUUUCAUCUUCGCCCUCAUGGAUGAUGUGAUGGUGAGCAAGCUGGGAAGAGAACCAUUUAUUUUGAAUUCCAGAGCUCGUACAUUGAGAUGGGAAGCAAGGACCAAGAAAUUUCUCAAACUUCACAGGUCAGUUAGCAUGGUAUAUGCAGCUAGGAAUGACAAAGAGACCCUGUC
rnacentral:lncRNA from 1 species